UGGGGAAUAUUGCACAAUGGAGGGAACUCUGAUGCAGCGACGCCGCGUGAGUGAUGAAGGACUUCGUUUCGUAAAACUCUGUUCUAUGGGAAGAAAAGGACUGUACCAUAGGAGAAAGCUCCGGCUAAAUACGUGCCAGCAGCCGCGGUAAUACGUAUGGAGCGAGCGUUGUCCGGAAUUAUUGGGCGUAAAGGGUGCGCAGGCGGCUUACAAGUUGGAUGUGAAAUAUUGUGGCUCAACCACAAACGUGCAUCCAAAACUGCAAAGCUUGAGUUAAGGAGAGGUAAGUGGAAUUCCUGGUGUAGCGGUGGAAUGCGUAGAUAUCAGGAGGAAUACCGGUGGCGAAGGCGACUUACUGGACUUAAACUGACGCUCAGGCACGAAAGCGUGGGGAGCAAACAGG
rnacentral:rRNA from 1 species